rnacentral:rRNA from 1 species
UAUCCUACGGGAGGCAGCAGUGGGGAAUAUUGGGCAAUGGGCGCAAGCCUGACCCAGCAACGCCGCGUGAAGGAAGAAGGCUUUCGAGUUGUAAACUUCUUUUCUCAGGGACGAAGCAAGUGACGGUACCUGAGGAAUAAGCCACGGCUAACUACGUGCCAGCAGCCGCGGUAAUACGUAGGUGGCAAGCGUUAUCCGGAUUUACUGGGUGUAGAGGGCGUGUAGGCGGGAGAGCAAGUCAGAUGUGAAAACCACGGGCUCAACCUGUGGCCUGCAUUUGAAACUGUUUUUCUUGAGUACUGGAG